UGAGGAAUAUUGGGCAAUGCCCGCAAGGGUGACCCAGCAACGCCGCGUGGAGGAUGAAUGUCGUAAGAUUGUAAACUCCUGUUAGAGGGGAAGAAUAGUACCGGUUGGACCGGUAUAUGACUGUACCCUCAGAGAAAGCCCCGGCUAACUGCGUGCCAGCAGCCGCGGUAAUACGUAGGGGGCAAGCGUUGUCCGGAUUUACUGGGUGUAAAGGGCGCGCAGGCGGGAUAAAAAGUCAGUGGUGAAAUCCUACAGCUUAACUGUAGAACUGCCUUUGAUACUUUUAUUCUUGAGUUCGGGAGAGAGAGACGGAAUUCCAGGUGUAGUGGUGAAAUACGUAGAUAUCUGGAAGAACACCAGUUGCGAAGGCGGUCUCUUGGUCCGACACUGACGCUGAGGCGCGAAAGCGUGGGGAGCAAACA
rnacentral:rRNA from 1 species